rnacentral:rRNA from 1 species
GACAGAGGGUGCGAACGUUGUUCGGAAUUACUGGGCGUAAAGCGCGUGUAGGCGGCAGCGCAAGUCGGGCGUGAAAUCCCACGGCUCAACCGUGGAAGUGCACUCGAAACUGCGUAGCUAGAGUCCUGGAGAGGAAGGUGGAAUGCUUGGUGUAGAGGUGAAAUUCGUAGAUAUCAAGCGGAACACCGGUGGCGAAGGCGGCCUUCUGGACAGUGACUGACGCUGAGACGCGAAAGCGUGGGGAGCAAACAGG